AUCUCCUAAUUUCUAGGCAUAUCUCCCCCAUCUCUUCCACUAACCUCCGAAUGUAUGCCCAUAUCUGCCCAAUCCUUAUGCGUGGGGCGGAGCUGCUCUAAAAUCUCCAGUUUCCCAUCGCGGUCAGCAUCUCCCCAGCCCCGGCGGCCGCCCCUUCCGGCGUGGGCGUCCACAUCCCCUUCCUCUUCCUAUUUCUUUGUUGUCGUGGCCUUCCCUUCCGAUGAUGCGGGCUUCUCUUCUCGGCCGAUGCGGUCGUCAGGCUGCGAGGUUAUGAGGAACGUCUUGGCAGUGGUCGCGCCUUCCCCGCGUCCUGGCCGGCGUCUGUAUUGGUGGAGGCGCUUCCGUCGUCUCCCCUCCAUCGUGGCGUCUCAGCCCCAGCAACGGCAGCUUCCUUCGCGCGGGCCGCAGGGUUCUGGGCGCUUCUUCUCUAGCAGCCUUAUCCCGACGGCGGUGGUCAUGGCAUGCUCGCACUCCAGGGCACGCGUGCCGGUCUGGAUCUUCCUCCCCUGCUGCGGCGCCACGGGGAGACGAAGUCCUCCAUCGGUGUACAGGUUCUGUUUUUUCCCAAAUUGAUGUGCUGCUAGGUUAUUUAGCCGAUGAAAGGAAACAAAUUAGAUUUCAUUCUGCGUGAUUGCUGCAGAAGCCAUGUCAAUUUCCAUUCUAGCCAUCAUUUUCAGGGAUGGGUGCAGGUAAUCAUUCUUUCAGAUAUGCAAUUUUCCUAACGUCCUGUGUGACUCAAGUGAUUCUCGUGUGCCACAGUAAUUACUGGCAAGUGGGGUCAAAUAGUACAUAUCAUUUUCCAGUUACUGUCUGGAAAACAUACUCUACAUUUUGCUUACUUACCAUGCCUUGCCCUAUGUUUCCAUUUUCCAAGAACAUGACUUGACAAAAUGACCAGGGUGCAUUCAAACUUAUCUGAUUUCCAUUGAGUAGUCAAAAUCUUCUUGCUUCAUUUUCUUUCCAAGGAAGCUGGAUAGAAAGCUCCACCUAUUAUUUAUCAUCUGGCGUAUUUAUUCCCUGAGAAGAGAAAAGCCUACAUGCUCAAUCACAUUCGGCAUUACAAUAAUAUUUUAGUGUAUUAUUUUUUGCUUGCAAGUGACAUAUAUAUUUCAUUGCAAACCUUGAUCCAUUUACUACUGAACAUUGUUGUUAACUAACCAAUCCACAAAUGCUACAGGUAUUCCCUCCCUUUUUGGGGCAUAUAUUUGCAUAUUUUGAUCAGUUACAUAAGAGAAUGUUGCUUCUCUUCGUGGUUGCAUUUCUCCUGGGUUAUUAUAAUUACUGGAUUGAAUAACAAUGACUGUUGUAUAUCUAGGGAUUUUAUUUUUGAUGAGUUAGUGCACACCUGUGUUCCCCUUUAUCCCUUCCUAUUAUUUAUUGGCAAGUUUCACAAAGCAACCAAGGAGAUCGUUAUUGGCAAUUCACAAUAGAGAGAAACUAUAAAUUAUUAAAUAUUAUUGAAAAUAAAUUCGCAAGAGAUUUAACUACAUUAUCGAGUCCAUUUUAUUGCUUCAGAAGACAAGUGAAAAUUACUUUACAAGUUUGUAAACAGUGAAGCUAUAACAUCAGUAAAUGAUUUUUUUUUGUGUUGCCUCUGAUCUUACCUUAAGGGCAUUGUAUACCUGUAGCAUACAUCCAGGAAACUAUUAUGUGUAUGGAAAUGGAUCAUUUUAGUUAGUGCUGAUCUGUAGCCUCUGAUUUUAAACUGGCCUAAUCUAACUUACUGGUUAGGAAGUAAAACAUAGACAAAAGGUAGCAACAUGGGUGAGCAAGUAAGGUCGUGUCAGGGAUGAUACUGAUAUCAGAUUCAGUGGCCAGGGAAAAGACAAUGGUAGUCAUUUAAAUCAUUUUUGCACACGGAUAAUUACGAAUUAUAAUAUAUCACUACUGUUCCAUUCUAAUGAAAGCUGAGAUGCAUCACUUGUGCAUUAUGUUUCUCAUGAUUAACCCAUUUCUGCCUCUUUCGCUUAGUGAUAAGAAUUUUAAGCUAUAAACCAUGUACUUUCAUACCAGUCCUGCAGCUUCCAAGUGUAUCACUUACUACCACAGCAUGUUUGCCAUACUUGCACGCAUUGCCUCUUAUCUAGGCUUAUGACACUUCCUUUUCUUUUUAUGGCGAGUGGGUUAGUUGACUCAAGUUAAUUUUUCCUGCUCUGGCCUUGGUGACAUACUGACAUAUAAAAAAGCCUUGGCAUGCAGAUUAGUUGAUUCAUGUGAUUUCUCUACGUAUGACUCCUACACAUGUUCUUGAUUUACCUCGCUAUAUAUUUUUUCAUCCAUUGAUUAGAAGUUUAUCCUUCAUGCAAAUAUUUCUUUUUCGUUUGGGACUUAUAGGUUCUCUCUUAUCACAGGUUAUCAACACCCCACCAUCUGUAGUUUGGAGAAAGCUGAAUUUAUUGAAAUUGCUCGGGAAUGGCCAUAUCAUUUACUUUGUUUUCCUUAUCAGUUAUCACAUAUUGAACAGAGUUGCAUGGAUAAGCAUGAGAUAUGCCCUGCAGUUGAAAGCCUGAGGUUGAGCUCAUAUUACCAACUGAUCUUCUUCACCUUGCAGUUGUAAGACUAUAAUCCAUAGCUUCAGUAAGCUUCUUCCAGAAGCUAGCUAGCUUCAGUAAGUUUCAGAUCAGUAAUUAAGCAAUUCUGGUCCGUAAGUGUUCAUAUUACUAAUGAAUCGCGAACUAGGUUACUGGAUUUUGCUAUGUGGCUGCCUUCCUGCCACGGUUUUCCUUUCUAUUUUGCUAAGUGUUGAUUACCUAUUUGGCAUCCUAUAAACAAAUAGUUUCAUAUGCACAUAUAAUUGUAUGGUGAUUGAGAACUCAAGUAAUCUUACUGUUCAAUGUGUUUUUUUCCUUCCUGGGGAGAUAUAUACCUUUUUAUGCCAAACUCCUGAAUGAAUUGUGUUCGACGAUGCAAGAUGGCCACCUCUCACCACGUGCGUCCGGCUGCAGCAGCCAGUAUUUGUUCAAGCCUGACACAUCUUGGAGCCAUGGACUCAACAUGGAUCGACCUGGGCAGUAGUAUAUUUCAGAUCCGGUUCGGGAGCUUCUCCAAGACUUCUGAUUCGUACAUAUGGACUUCUGCGGUGCAUAAUAAUGUUUUGUGGAGACUGUUGUUGUUACCUGUUAUAAAAUGGCUGUACAAAAUUCGUUCAGCCGCAACAUACUUCGUUCAGCCAAAUUUUUCGUUGUCGAGAAGCCAAAGCACCAGAUCCGCUGCGACGAGCCUGCAGACGCCGACACGACUUCUUUGAUGACCAGCUGAAGCCUCAAACCCCCUCCGACCAUCUUGCGGCAGCAGAAGCCAGAAGACAGAGACAGUAGAGGCAUGGCGCAGAUUUUUUCAUUCUCAUCGCAAGAGUCUCAAGCACCAGGUUCCUGCCGAGCCCGCAAGUUUUGCCUUUGAUCUCAACCUCCCCACGGAGGCCCCUGCACCAGGCAAGAACACCAUCUUCGAUAGCUAGCCGAGGCUCCAGCUCGCUUCUGCGGACCCUGCCCUGCAUAGCCUUCCUUGCCUGUGCUUAGUAAACCGGUGAAAACCGUCUGGCUCUGCUAGCAAAAAGAUGAAUCCGUGGGGCCUAGCCUUCCCCACGAAGAACAUGUACUGGGCAUGGUAGACCAGUAGAAAGAUGUAUCGGCGCCGGUUGGCCUCCAGUGUGUAAUGCAUUCUAAAUACGCAGUAGCCCUGCAGCA